GCAAAGCUACCUUUAAAUAAGAAAAGGCAAGAUCUAAAUGUUUUUAACAGUCUGAUAAAAUAUGUCACGUCAAACUGUGACACUCUGGUAAUAGUACUUGCCAGAAAAAGUUGCUUCACUCAGAGAAAUAUUGGAAAGGGCCGCUAAAGCAAUAAUAACCAACAACGUGCAACAUAAAUUUGACAGGAAUAUAUGAUGUGAAAAUGAUGUAAAUAUUCUCUCAACCUUCUUGAAAAUAUGUAAUGAUGAAAUAUGUUGGGAAUCCUCAUGAAAAUAUAAAAUGAUGAAAAUA